GACGAACGCUGGCGGCGUGCUUAACACAUGCAAGUCGAGCGGUAAGGCCCUUUCGGGGGUACACGAGCGGCGAACGGGUGAGUAACACGUGGGUGACCUGCCCUCAGCUCUGGGAUAAGCCUGGGAAACUGGGGUCUAAUACCGGAUAUGACUCCACGGUGCAUGUCGUGGGGUGGAAAGCCUUGUGCGGCUGAGGAUGGGCCCGCGGCCUAUCAGCUUGUUGGUGGGGUGAUGGCCUACCAAGGCGACGACGGGUAGCCGGCCUGAGAGGGCGACCGGCCACACUGGGACUGAGACACGGCCCAGACUCCUACGGGAGGGCAGCAGUGGGGAAUCUUGCGCAAUGGGCGAAAGCCUGACGCAGCGACGCCGCGUGAGGGAUGACGGCCUGUGUACUAC
rnacentral:rRNA from 1 species